AACUUUGUGGCAAGGUACACUAUGACAGCUGUCCUAUACAGGCCUUUACUAUGGGAGGUGAUGGCCAAUCAUGGUGUCUACGUGAUU
rfam:Erinaceus europaeus unplaced genomic scaffold scaffold00425, whole genome shotgun sequence